CGGGGUGAAAUUUCAGAGGAACAAUUGUACUCAAUCCUUCUGACAUUCUCCUGAAGUUUUCUUAAGCUGGGUGGAUUUUCCCUGUCCUGUGCAGCCCUGGCUCAUGCUGCCAAGUGGCUGUGGUACUGCAGUGCCAUGCAAGGGAUGGUAUCAGCUCUCUACAAUGUGAAGCAGUGAGCCUACUACAUCAUGGAAAUGAAACUGUAAAAGAUGAAGUGAGGCUUUGGAACUAAAGGCCUGAGAAAUAUGAUGUCUCACAAUAAGGGAACUGUGAAACGUAACAGGGAGGCUCAGGCCCUGCAUGGCCAGCAAGAGUCAUGGUUGUGGUGUUCAAGGGGACUGCUCUAACUAGCCUUAAUCCUGCAGGAUGGAUUUCCUGUGGCUUGGUCUUGCAAAGUUUCUAAAAUCAUUGGUCUCAUUGACAUAGAUCUUGAGUUACAGGGAUCCACGUGAAGUGGAGAGCCAGCCCUGCAGAAGGUCUAGCUUAAGAACAGACAGUGAAGAUCGCAAGGGCUUAUUUUUAUAUGUUCUGCUAAGAAAGGAAACUGUAAAUGGAAAUCUCCAUUCCCAUAGGUCUUGAAGGAGGGCAAACAGCAUCUGUACCAGCUGCUGUGCCUGAAGGACAGUGGGGCAAGUUGUCUGAGUUUUGGCACAAGGAAUUACUUCUGAUGGGUUUUGUCUGCUGUAGAUAAGGUUGUACUGGCAUUUGUAUAAGUAAGAAAUUCUGAUAGCAUAAGAAUAUUCAGUCUUAAUCUUCCUGUAAGUUAUAUGAUGGAGUACUUACAGAUUACUAAGGUGGACUGAGGCUGACAUGAGCAGAGCAGAAGAUAAGUGAUUGGGGGCUGCUGGUGAUCUUUCCACAGCCACCUCAGCAUUUAGACUGAUCUGCGACCUGAGCAGCGUGAGCGAUGACUGGUUUGGGAUGCUCACAGUGGGUAACUGAUGAAAAUGAAGAGAUAUAAUAAAACUCUUAGCGCUGGGAUGCAACAGUUUGAUGAAAGGUAAAUGUCUGAGUCAUGGAGAGAAAAUGAGUUUCUUGCAGGCUGAAUUCUGUAUGUCUCUAGCUUAGCCUGGGGCUGUGGGAAGGGCAGACAAUGAACACACAGUUGGUUCCCACACAGGGUCAGUCAGGCUCACAGUGAGAGAUAAUGGACAAAGGCAACAGGCUCAGGGACCUUACAUGCAGUCUCCAAAGAGAAACAACCUUCAGUCUGAGACCUUGAUGAUCAAAAGGAGUCAAAACACUUAUAAAACCUUUGCGAAGAGGCGGAAGAGGAAGAUCGCUUAUCGAGGGUUCCCUGUGGGGACAAACUGACAGAGGCAGGAGGGAGGUUGGAAAGGAAUUAAAAUAAAUCCAGUGCUCCCAGAAUGGCAAGCCUAACUACUGUAUGUACGGACAUUUUCAGUGUUUUAGAGAUACGGUUUAUCUGAAGGCUUUCAUAUGCAAGUAAAAGUUAACAUUUAAAUUGGCCAUUCAUUAGCACUGCCAUUGACAUUGGGGAAAACAGAAAUAGUUAUGUGUGAAAGACUAGGGAAGUCAUAAUUAAUAGUCUGGAAAGUGGAGACAGGGCCCUGGCUGAAAGCAGAAGAAUCAUAUUUCAGCACACACACACAAAAAGAAAAAGACAGCUAGUGGCUUUGAGUGUUGGAAGAAACCUACUGAGACUGGGGAGAGGCAUUCUUCAGGAAAUCCUUCCAGAAACAUACUCAGCAGCAACAGCCAAAUGCUUCCUCUCCAUCUCAGGCACAGACUGAACCUGCACAUAUCACAGGUCAGUACACGUUUGCCCUGCAAGGUCAUCCUCUGUUCUUCUCCAUGAACAAGGGUGGAGCAGCGUGAAGAAGAGGACAAUACAUGGACACAGCAUGUGCCCUGCCCCUUGUAGGUGCUGGGACAAGGUGCCAAAGUGAGGCUGUGGUCUAGCACCAAUGAAUGGCUUUAAAGGAAAGCGAAUAUCCUCCCAUUCAACACUUUGUUUUGAGAAGGCAUCUUGCAAUCUUGGCUACUCCAGUUCCAUUUGAACAAAUUGCAGAAACUCACUCCCAACCAAAGGAGUUGUAUGUGGGACUUUAGAAAACAUUUUAACUCUUAAUUCUUAUUUUCAAGCAUUAUAACUAUAUAUUUGCAUUUGCAAAUAUGAAGUGAAAGUGUAGCAAGGAUACCAUUUUCUUUAAUGUAAACAUGCAGUUGUUUUAUUGUGGAGAAAAUUAAACACUUCAUAUUGUGCUGGUACACAUAUGUACAGGCAUUGCCUAGAUUUUCUUUUCAAUUUAUACUGUCAAUUUAUACUGCAUAACAAAUUGCUAAUAUCUCAUCUGUUUUAACAGGCCUAUGCUUCAGAGUGCCACGGUGACGUAUCCUUCUACAAUUAGUGCUUGCUUUUAUCUUUCAAGUGGUAUUUAAUGAGUUUAUUUCCUUUUCAUCUAAGCAUUUAAAAUAUCUGGCUGGGUCAUUUUUAUUUACAAAUUGCAAACAAGGUUUGAAUAAUUUCCUCUAAUUGUUUUUUUUUAAAUCAUGUUUUUCUUGAGAUACAAUUCAAGAUAGCCAGAACAAUGACAUUCUCAUGUUGUUUUCUGCAUAUUUCUACACCUCCUGGACAGACAAAUCUGUGUUCAGCCUCAUGCCUCCAGUAGAUGUCAUCAUGACAAUGGAAAAUAUUGCUGGAGAUGCUCGUGAUGAGAUGUCCUGUGCCAGGGGAGGAGAAGAGCUAUGCUUCAGUAGACUUUGUUUCUAUUGAGACUAUAGUUCACAUUUAGAGAGUAUUUAACUUUUAUAAUGCUUUCAAAAGCGUGAUGAAUAUCAAAACAGAGUCAUCAGCCAGGUCACAGGGCUGUUUGUGGCAGUGGUGUUAUACACUUGGUCACAAAUACAGAUGUAUAUGUGCAUACAUGCACAAACAAUGUGCAGAUUAUCAACUGCUUGGGUUUUAUUUUGUUUGUUUGUUUUUUGUUUUGUUUUUUUGUUUGUUUGUUUGUUUUUCCCAGCAGCUAUAUGGCUUCCUUCAUUUGGCAUCCCCUACUCAAAGCCAUCACACUCUUACUCUUACAUAUAUGUAUUUCUUUUUUUUCCCCUACAUCCGCCUUAGAAGUAAUUUCUCCAAAGGAAAACCAAAAUUCUCCUCCUUCAUUUCUAUACCAAUGAAUCUCUGCACCUGCCAGCCCCUGACCUGUUGGGCAUCCUAUCCAUUCUAAGAUUCACAGCGUUCUGAGUGAGUGAUGAAUUUUACCGUGGUUAUUUAGCAGUGAGUCAAUCUACAACCCUACAGUGUAACUGGCUAUAAUUUUAGUCUGUCUAACAGAGAGCAAGUCUCCAGAAAAGAAAGGGGCAGGUCAGUCACUGGCAGUGACAUGCACAAGAGCUGCAAGACUGAAAUACACACACAUUGAGAAAGGAAUUAGAAAAAUGUAUUGAAAAUGUAUUUAGCUAUUGUCAAAUGCUGGACUGAUUUCCUCAGGCAAUAGCAUCUAUGAUCAGGAUGUCUUGGCAUAGAAAAAGGGCACCUUUUCCCCCCUUGGAAGCCCCAACAGUUUGAUUGCAUAUGAUACAUGUCUAAUGUGUAUGGUCCCUUUUUAAAUUCAGUGCUACAGUCAUGUUCUUUGUGACAGAGUGAUAUUAUGGUGAGAUGCCUUCAGAUAAAAUAGGACACGAGCUGAGCCAUGUGAUUCGAAAAGGCUGCUGGUCUGAAAUACAACUUUCUAAAAAUCAACAGGGUGCAGCUAUAUCAAAUACCAAGCCCAUAAUUUGAAUGUUCCCUUUUCUCUAGAUUAUAGCCCUAUGAAUAAUAAGUUUUUCUUCUUUAAAAUGUCAGGCUUUGAGGAAGUACAUAGCAAGAAAGCAGGGCAUUAAUGGCCUGAUUAACUGAAGAGUCUGCUUCUUCUCCUCUGUGAUCAGCAUUAUUAGUUCUGGGGAAAAUGGUCGAAUGAUUAGACCAAAUUUGUGACCUCCCACACUAAGAAGAAAGAACACCUCAUUGGAAAGAUCUUUUUAUUGUUCACGUUCUUAAAAAAAAAAAAAAAGAAGUAGUGGAAAUUUUCUCCUUGACUAAGUAGGAAGGCUCUCUGCUGGGAGGAAAAUGAAGUAUUUAGUCAAAAUAAACAGCUGAUGCUCUUGUCCAAGGAAGAACAGAAACCUGGUCGAACUGUUUGCGUAAGUGAAACCAUCUCUUAAAAUAGCAGAAAAGCCCCAUGAGCAUCUAUAAAGAUAAAUGGAGAGAGAGGAAUGCAGAAACUUGUUUAAGUUUGGGCACUGUCAAAGUAGUAUGGAGCUGGCAAAAAAAAGCAGGUCCUUGUCCUCGUGAAACUUUAGAUAUUUUGUUACUAGAAAUAAUAAGAAAAUAGUAAGAAAAAAACCAAACCAAAACAACAAAAAAAGCCUAAGCAAACACAGUAACAUUGUAAGGACUGCGAUGAUGUAGGUAUUAACUCAAAAAGCAGAAGUCAAAAAACAUAACAGAAGUCAUUACUUCAUGACUAGUUUGCAUUUUGCUUCAAGUAUAUGACUUCUUUGUUACAUGUAUACUCCUAUUUAAGAAUGCAUACAUUCCCAUUAACAGUGAUCCCAGUCUAAAAGCAUUCCAUAACACUGUAAUUUAGCACUUGAAGUUUCACUUAAGCCUUAAAAUAUUCAGUCUGUAACCUGUUACUUUGAGAGGAGAGGAUAAGUGCUGCUGAUAACAGUCCAAAAGAUCACAAAGAGCUAUCGUUCAGCUCUCUGCACCUGCCUUAAAGCAGGAUCAAAUGCAGCUGAACUGUUCUUGAAAGCUGAUGGUAAUUCCAUAUUUUCUUCCCACAGUCUGCUCCAGCUGCAGUGUGUCUGCAGAGCGGGGGCAGGACUUCUCCACAGCUACCUUCUGCCUCCCUUGCUGCAGUUUAGCCCUGUGAUAUGUUACCCUAUCUGCUCUAUAAUAAAUACUACCCACUCUCAGGGUACCACACCACCCUUCUCAUCGGUAUGCUGAGGAGGUAGCAGCGAGCUUGGCCCUCACAUACACGGAGCACCAUCAGAGCAGCCCUGUUCCAGCGUGGUCCCAGGGGCAGGCAGGUGGUGGAACAUGGCUGGGCUCACUCCCUAAGAGCAGCAUGGGGCUUCUGACUCACAUCUGACUGUCAGCAUCUUCCGAGAAGAGCAUACAGCUGACAGCCCUCAGGAACCCAGCUGUUCAUCUUCCUAUAGGCAGGCAGCAAGGCAAUGCAUGUGCACGUCUGCUGUACUGUCAACGAGCUCAGGCAUGCAUGGUUUGGGAGGGGAAUUUUCUGCAAAAGUAACAGUUAACAAAUAUCUGGACAACCACAAAAGCACAUGAAUCCUCAAAUUGCCUUGCAUAUUUUUUUCCUCUCCUCUUUCCUUCUCUAUUUCCUUUCACAACACCUCUACCAGCCCUCCCUGCUCCUUAUUUACACAGAGAGGAAAAGCCCCACGCAAGCACCACAAACAGUUGUAGUCAAGAAGGGGAAAUCUAGCUCAGCUGUGAUAAUUAGAAUAGCUGUGAUACUUUAAUUGAGCUGCUAAUAGCAGUGCAGGGUUGUUGCAUAAAAACCUGGUGUCUGGUAGCCUUUCCUUCAGCCCUGCUUAUAGGUGGGGUAUGUGUGUGGAUGGGUGUCUGCUGCUUUCCUUUCAGCUUUCCCUCUAAAUACAGCCCCUUCUGGUUCUGUUGCAAUGCUGUGCAGUUGCAUGUAUGUUCUCUGAGAGCAACUCCAUGUGUUUGUUUGGUUUUUUUUCUCUUCCUCUUCUUUAUUUUGAGAGCUGGUUUCUACAAAUCCAGUCUGCACGGGCCCUGGAGCAAGGUCUGUGCCAGUCCCCUCAGGCAAUUAAUCUUAGUAGUGAUCUUAGUAGUUACAAACCUACUUACAUGAUUUCAGCCACUGCCUGGUGCUUGUGGCAAGCCUGAUGCGAUAUGUUCUCAGAAAAGUGUGAGGAGGAAGUAAUGGACUUCCUCACUCCUCUGCAGUAAGAAUAGCUCAUUCAUUACUUAUGUUCACUAGAGUUCGGUUCCUGUAUUUUUGUUGAGCUUUGCCUUGCUGCAGUGGCAAUCUUUCUGUUACUGAAUCCUUGUAGUAGCUUCUUAAAGCUUACCAAAAUGAGGGGGCAUUGUGUAUUAUUUCAUAGUGUUAUAAACGUUAUUCUUAUUUGCACAACAGUGAUAUGGAAUGUGUUUAGAGAACUGGCCUUCAAAAGCAGAUUAAGCUUAACUUUACAUUUCGUUUACCACUUUAAACUCUUUGGAAACUCUGAAUAAUGUUUGUGUAAAAAUAUUUCUCUGCUAUAUCAGCAAAUUGAGGUGUAGUAGCGUAAACUGAUUCUAGGAAAGCUAAAAAGGAAACCUCUGGAGAACUCCAGGUUGGCUGCAGGACUUCAGCUAUGGAUUUGGUAUCAGCUCAGAUGACCGGAAAUAUCUGCUGUUUUUCCCCCAAUGUCCAGAUGUGCUGUUUUCUUUAAACACUGAAUUGUGCUUUAAAAACACGGUCAUAUGAUGGAGAUUACAGUUGCAUCGCGUGCCGCUCCCAGAUCUGCAGGACUGAGCAUGAAACCAGCCCUUUCUAUCCACUGUUGUAGAAACUGAUGCCGGAAUGAAUUUACACCAUGAGAACAGUAGGAGUAAUACAAAGACAAAGGAGUUCAGAAAGGCAUUUAUGUUCUGAAAGCAGUCUUUUGUCUUUGUGUUAUAGAAGAGCCUUGAAAAUAACUGAUAUAUUUCAUUGUCAAUGCAUUAAAAUGAUACAGAAGACACACAGAGGAUACCCUGUGUCACUGCGUGCUGUGUGGGCUGUCAGUGUGCAGCGUUUGACACUGACCAGCCGCUGCAGUCGCACCACACUGCAAUUAGAUUACUGACUAAUUUAAUCUUUAUUAAUUCUGGAGCUUAUCACAAGCAUGUGCUUCUGAGGAUUAUUGGAACUUAAUCCUCAAAGCGUGUGCCUGCAAAGAAACUCUGUAACAUGCUAAAUAAAUAAAUAUAUAACUGUGCUAUAAUUGAAACAAAAAGUAGAGAAUUAUACUGCAUUCAGCUUUAUUUUAAGUUAAUUCUUCGGAGCGGUCCGAGGCUUAAAACAGUAAAAAGCGGCCGAAAAUGGAGAAAAGGGAUAAGCGUUCGUAGCCGAGAAAGGCCGCGGGGUGGCGAGGCGCGAGGACGCCACAGCCCCGAGAGCGCGGAGCCCCGCGCACAGGGACACGCCCGGCGGCAGCGGAGCGGCGCUCGGCACGACGUGCUGCCCCGGGGCUGCCCGCGGCUCCGCGGCCGGUGCCGGCACUGUGCGCAGCCGGACCCGCGGCUCGGGGUUCCGGCGUCUCGGUGGCAUUCUUCUCCCGAACGCCGCUUCCUCGGUGGGGUGGGCGGCUGCCCGCCGCCUGAGUCGCUCCGGCUCAGCGGCGCAGAAAACGCGCGCUCGGCCUCCCGCCGCCCCGCGCUUUCGA